GGGAACCUGCCCAUCAGAAGGGGAUAACACUUGGANACAGGUGCUAAUACCGUAUAACACUAUUUUCCGCAUGGAAGAAAGUUGAAAGGCGCUUUUGCGUCACUGAUGGAUGGACCCGCGGUGCAUUAGCUAGUUGGUGAGGUAACGGCUCACCAAGGCAACGAUGCAUAGCCGACCUGAGAGGGUGAUCGGCCACACUGGGACUGAGACACGGCCCAGACUCCUACGGGAGGCAGCAGUAGGGAAUCUUCGGCAAUGGACGAAAGUCUGACCGAGCAACGCCGCGUGAGUGAAGAAGGUUUUCGGAUCGUAAAACUCUGUUGUUAGAGAAGAACAAGGAUGAGAGUAAAAUGUUCAUCCCUUGACGGUAUCUAACCAGAAAGCCACGGCUAACUACGUGCCAGCAGCCGCGGUAAUACGUAGGUGGCAAGCGUUGUCCGGAUUUAUUGGGCGUAAAGCGAGCGCAGGCGGUUUCUUAAGUCUGAUGUGAAAGCCCCCGGCUCAACCGGGGAGGGUCAUUGGAAACUGGGAGACUUGAGUGCAGAAGAGGAGAGUGGAAUUCCAUGUGUAGCGGUGAAAUGCGUAGAUAUAUGGAGGAACACNCAGUGGCGAAGGCGGCUCUCUGGUCUGUAACUGACGCUGA
rnacentral:rRNA from 1 species